GGUAUCGCCGUUAGUCAUGUGCAAAUAUGGAUAGCUGUUUUAGCCGUCUUUAUUGACUGGUUUAUAAGAGUUAUCACAUAUCACUUUGAUUAAAUUAGAGUGCUUAAAGCAAGUGUGUUACUUGGAUAUAAAUGCAUGGAAUGAUGGAAUAUGUUGUUAUUCUAUUUGUUGGUUUUUGAAUGAUAAAAUGAUUGAAAGGAACUGUUGGGGGCAUUCGUAUUGUUGUGAGAGAGGUGAAAUUCUUAGACCACAGCAAGACGAAUUACUGCGAAAGCAUUUGCCAAGAAUGUUUUCAUUGAUCAAGAACGAAAGUUAGAGGUUCGAAGGCGAUCAGAUACCGCCCUAGUUCUAACCAUAAACUAUGCCAACUAGCAAUUUGCUUUGUAUUUUUUAUGACUAAGUGAGAGGCCACGGGAAACCUAAGUAGGGUUAUGGGGGAAGUAUGGUUGCAAAGCUGAAACUUAAAGGAAUUGACGGAAGGGCACCACCAGGAGUGGAGCCUGCGGCUUAAUUUGACUCAACACGGGAAAACUUACCUGGUCCUGACACUAGAAGGAUUGACAGAUUGAUAGCUCUUUCUUGAUUUGGUGGAUGGUGGUGCAUGGCCGUUCUUAGUUGGUGGAGUGAUUUGUCUGGUUAAUUCCGAUAACGAACGAGACUCUAGCCUAUUAAAUAAUACACGGAAUUUUAUCUUCCGCGGUAUUUCUUAGUGGGAUCAAGCG
rnacentral:rRNA from 1 species